UUUAAAAAAUGUUGAAUAUCAACAAUGCCUUUCACUGCUGCAUUGUCAACUUUUGUAUGAAGCAAUCUUGGUUGAAUGAGAUGGGUGCCAGUGCACGGAGCGCUGGGCUGCAGUGUGCACUGCCACGCUGGUAGCCAACGCCGGCUCUCUCUCUCUCUCCCCGUCGCUCCUCUUUUAUUCCUCUGCCGGGCGGCCGUGGUGGUAGUGUGUGUCUAAAUGGCGAUAGCACUCGUGGCUCUGUGUGGCUGUGGGCUCAUGGGCAUUGGAUGUCCGUGCCUUGUCCUGGCCCCCCAGCAGUUUUUUUUUUGGGGGGGGGUUGAUUUUCAUUAGGGGCCCUCUCUACUCUCCCGGGCCCCCCCGGUUAGGAGCCAGCAGCUGGAGGUGGUUCUGGUGGGACGGACUGACUGACUGACUGACAGAGAGAAGGGGGAGCAGCGGUCCUGAAGCCAGUCAGAACAGGGUUUGGCUGACGGUCCCUAAACCUCUUGAGUGGAUUAAGGGUCGGCUGAACUGCUGAACGCUCCCCGGGAGCAAGAGGAGAUGGAGGAGGAGGAGGAAGAGGAGUUGGAGGAGGAGGAAGAGGAGUUGGAGGAGGUGGAGGUGGAGGAGGAGGAGGUGGUGGUGGAGGAGGAGGUCUUCACUGUCUCACACCCAGCGAAUGGUGAGUGGAAAAAUCUGGAAGGAAUCUCCUCCAGCUGUUGGUUUGGUCUCAGGGAUUAAGUGGUAGUUGCAUAGAGUAAUAACAAUAAAAAAUAUAAUAAAGAGGCUUGGACUCAAACAAGCCUAUGAAAUAUGCAAAUAUGCAUGCAAUACAAAAACAUUGGUGUUGAUCUUUGAUCAGUAAAAUCUUACGUUGCUUCAUACCUGUUGCUCUGCACGGAUUCGUUUAGUGAAUCCUCUUCCUCUUCCAAUUGCAUUCAGCAAUUCAAAAAUAUAUUUUGGAAGAUUAUGGAAGAAAAAAUUAAAUCUGUUUAUCUUGGAAGUGACUGAAAUCCUGACUCAUGUUGCAAACCCAAGUGGAAGGCCAAAAAAAAAACAUUGGCUGGGUUUUGCUGAUAACGGUACAACAAUUCAUCAAAUAUUACCCAAAUAUUAAAUGCGCCCAAUUCCAGA